GACGAACGCUGGCGGCGUGCUUAACACAUGCAAGUCGAGCGGAGCGGCGAACGGGUGAGUAACGCGUGAGUAACUGCCCCCCUCACUGGGAUUACAGUUGGGAACGGACGCUAAUAACGGAUAGUGGGGGGUGACUCGCGUCCUCUCAACUUGUUGGUGUGGUAUUGGCCUACCAAGGCGAUGACGGGUCGCCGGCCUGAGAAGGCGACCGGCCACAUUGGGCUGAGAGACGGCCCAAACUCAGACGGGAGGCAGCAGGGGGGAAUAUUGCACAAUGGGGGAAACCCUGAUGCAGCAACGCGCGUGGGGGAUGACUGCCUUCGGGUUGUAAACCGCUUUCAGCCAUGAAGCGGUAGUGGCAGAAGAAGCACCGGCUAACUACGUGCCAGCAGCCGCGGUAAUAC
rnacentral:rRNA from 1 species